rnacentral:rRNA from 1 species
AUUGAACGCUGGCGGCAGGCCUAACACAUGCAAGUCGAGCGGAUGAAGGGAGCUUGCUCCUGGAUUCCGCGGCGGACGGGUGAGUAAUGCCUAGGAAUCUGCCUGGUAGUGGGGGAUAACGUCCGGAAACGGGCGCUACUACUGCAUACGUCCUGCGGGUGAAAGUGGGGGAUCUUCGGACCUCACGCUCUCAGAUGAGCCUAGGUCGGAUUAGCUAGUUGGUGGGGUAAAGGCCUACCAAGUCGACGAUCCGUAACUGGUCUGAUAGAAUGAUCAGUCACAUGGGAAGGUAGACACGGUCCAUGCGACUACGGGACGCAGCAGUGGGGAAUGGUGGACAGUGGUCGGAAGCAUGGUCCAGCCAUGCCGCGUGUGAGAAGGAGGUCUUCGGAUUGUAAAGCACUUUAAGUGGGGAGGAAGGGCAGUAACUUAAUACCUUGCUUUUGUGACGUUACCAACAGAAGAAGCACCGGCUAACUUCGUG